AUUCCAGCUCCAAUAGCGUAUAUUAAAGUUGUUGCAGUUAAAAAGCUCGUAGUUGGAUUUGUGGAGGGUUGUGGGAUUUGUCCUCAGGGAUGUAAUCCUUUCGGCUUGUUCAUCUUUGGCUGGAAUCUGCGUGGCAUUGAGUUGUCGUGCAGGGGAUUGCCAUCGUUUACUGUGAAAAAAUUAGAGUGUUCAAAGCAGGCUUAUGCCGUUGAAUAUAUUAGCAUGGAAUAAUGAGAUAGGACCUUGGUACUAUUUUGUUGGUUUGCGCACCGAGGUAAUGAUUAAUAGGGACAGUUGGGGAUAUUUGUAUUUCAUUGUCAGAGGUGAAAUUCUUGGAUUUCUGAAAGACAAACUACUGCGAAAGCAUUUAUCAAGGAUGUUUUC
rnacentral:rRNA from 1 species